rnacentral:lncRNA from 1 species
CGAGUGGACCACGCCCACUCCCGCCUCCGCCCGCCUGUACCAGGUCCGGUCGCCUCUUCCUUUGGGCUUUGCGCAAUUCGUCGAGCAGGUCAUAUAUGUGGCGUGUGUACGUGUGCUUUUGUAAUGGAUGGUGGCAUUGUGUUCUGGUGGUUGGGGUGCAGGAUUUGCUCCUGUUGUUCAAGUUGAAUACCGGGGAGAUGGAGGAGAUGGUGCCAUGAAGGGCUAGUGUGGUGGUGAGGUUCAAGUUCUAUAACGAGGCCAUGGUUGUUUGCAUGUCUGUUUAGUUUUUUUCUUUUGUAUGGUUGUUGAAAAACAAAGCCGAGCCUAUUAGUUUGGAAAAUAAAGUCAAGCCUAUGUGUUGAAAAAUAGUUUGAUUAACUAGCAAGUGGCCAUUUGCGCCGGUGAGUUGAGCUGGCUAGCUUGUGUUGAUGCAUGCAUGUUUGGUCAAGGCUAGCUAGUUGCAGCAGUUGGGAAUAGUACAUAAGAGAAGAGACCCUAUAUCAGCAUGUGUAAUCAGGACUGGCAUGUAUACUUGAUACUACUGUAUAGCUUAACUCGCAGUCCCUGUAAGCAAACCAACUAACAUUGAAGAGGUCCUCCAUUCAUGUCAUAGUACGUACAUUCCUAGUUCUUUUUCCUUUAGUUUUGGUUCGUAGAUGUAAUUGUAAGUUUUGUAAUCUCGCUUUUGCUUUUCUUAUCAGUAUUUUGUAGUUCUGUAACAUUUAACUUGUAUGCCUAAGGCUGAAGCAGUCACUGACAUGUUAACAUCAUGUCCCAUGUGUUCUUUCUCAAAGAUGUAGAGCAGGGGUUCUUACAGUUUGAUAAAUACAGGCCACAUCAGAUUCCGAAGGCGGCUUUGAAAGGGGUGAGAUGAUGCUCGUCAAGACUAACUGAAAAGGUUAGUCCAUCAUGUCUUACCCAUUUAGUUAUGCGCCAAUUUAGUUCUGGACAACAUGAGCAUGCUGCGGAUAACUUGCUUUGAGACAUGCUCUUUUUAUUUGAGCCUGAUUUCUUAGAUUACCUCAUUGCCUACGUGGUACUGUUGUACUGUAUAUGAUGUAUGCACCUGCUUAUGCCCUAUUUUCCCAGAUGUGGCUCAUAACAGAGAUAUCUAUCUAUUAAAUCCAUCUUAAUUAAGGUGCGAUGGCACAAUUUGGUUGAACUCAUAUAGGAAAAGAUGUUGCUAUAAUCAAUUACAGUAAAAUCAUUUGCACAGAGAAAAAUAUUUCAACAUUAGACAAUAUGAUCUGGCAUGUUUGACCCUCAUCAGGCGUCCUCCUUUCUAGCUUUUGUUUUUCCCUGUACUAGCUUUGCCUCUUUUGGUCCUCAGCUUUCCAGACCAUGAUGCUUUUGAGAAUGUCCAGCAAACUUGGUUUCAUUUUAGUAAUGGAACCAGGGGGUCGCCUCUCUGUUUAUCUAAAAAAGUGGAAAGUAUUGAAUUUUUUUGGAAGUGCAUACAGAAAUAAUGGCAGCUUAACAUGAAGAAUGAUUGUGACAUGUCAUACGAAACAUAAGAAGUUGCUUAAUUUGCUAUGCGCAAUAUAACCUAAACUAUUGUUGGUGGAGAUUAGUGUGCUACUGCUAUUUAAUUUGUUUGAAUGAAAAAUUAUAUUUAUAUCUUUCUUUACAUGACAUUCUUAAUCUGUUUUUUGUAUUUAUUGUAUGCCCAAACUAGCCAAUAGUGUUAUGCUAGUCUACUGCUUCUGUUGUGUCAUCAGACUGCAAAAUAUAAGCGCUAGUAUAUAUACUUCAGUGGGGUUGCAGAUGUCUGUUGUACAUUUGUACUUGGUUAUCAUUUUACAACUUCAACAAGCCAAUGAAUCGAUUAUCGAUACGACAUAUGUGUCUUUCAGAUAAGGUUUUUUUUUACCUGUAUCACCUAGCCAUCUUGGUGUAACCAUAGUACAUGCGGGUUCUGGACAUAGGAUUGUUAUAGUUAAUUAAAAAAUGUCAUGUGCUUCGAAUUAUAUUAAUGUUACAAGUAAUUUGAAAAGCAUGAUGUGUUCUGAACCGUUGCAAACUUAUAAUGAAAUUGACAUUAGUGCAGUUUAUUGGUAUAUUCCUUUUGUACACAGAGCAACGUGUAGUACUCAGUCUAUUACUUGGAGUUGCGUUCCUGCUGAUUCAUGUAACCCUGAAAAUUGCAUGUGAAGGACCAAAAGGUGAGUACGUAGUCAUACUGUUAGAUAUCUAACUAGUCAAUUAGAACAUCUAAGUUCCUUUUUUCUAUCAUCAAUUAAAUUUCAACUACAGUAUGUCAUUUUCAUCUCCCUUACAUCUAGUCUAAUCGUUUCUUAGGAAUGGGAGACAAUACUGAAGAAUCGUGAUCUAUGGCAAGGGUGAUGAUGUCUAUGGCGAUGAGUGUUAUGAUCUAUUUGGCGACAAGCAUUAUGAUCCAUAUGGUGAUGAAGGGUGACGAGUCUAGUGAUCUUUCUUCAAGACGUUCAACAAAGUGAAAUCAUGGGGUUUUGGUCAAUCUAGCUUAUGCAUAAUGCUUGGACCAUUAUAUCUUAGUUAUUUUUUUUUGCAUUUUAAACUUUCUAGAUUGUUCAUCAUGAUCAAUGUAAUUCUGAUGCAACUCUUCUAAUAUUUUGAAAGUUGUGCUAUAUACAAUAUAUGUUACUUGGUCAUGUGUGGGCUGUGCAAUUCUGUGAUAUAUCUGAAAUGAAAAGCAAUCCUCUAAGGGUGACU